rnacentral:rRNA from 1 species
UAGGGAAUUUUCGGCAAUGGGGGGAACCCUGACCGAGCAACGCCGCGUGAGUGAUGAAGGCCUUCGGGUUGUAAAGCUCUGUUAUAAGCGAAGAAAGAAUAGGAUAGGGAAUGAUCCUAUUAUGACGGUACCUUAUCAGAAAGCCACGGCUAACUACGUGCCAGCAGCCGCGGUAAUACGUAGGUGGCAAGCGUUAUCCGGAAUUAUUGGGCGUAAAGGGUGCGUAGGCGGUCAAUUAAGUUUGUAGUGAAAGUUCGAGGCUCAACCUCGGAUAGCUAUAAAAACUGAUUGGCUAGAGUGCAGGAGAGGACAGUGGAAUUCCAUGUGUAGCGGUAAAAUGCGUAGAUAUAUGGAGGAACACCAGUGGCGAAGGCGGCUGUCUGGCCUGUAACUGACGCUGAAGCACGAAAGCGUGGGGAGCAAAUA